rnacentral:rRNA from 1 species
GAUGAACGCUAGCGGCAGGCUUAACACAUGCAAGUCAGGGGUAACAUGAAAAGCUUGCUUUUCUGAUGACGACCGGCGCACGGGUGCGUAACGCGUAUACAACCUACCUUUUAGCGGGGAAUAGCCCAGGGAAACUUGGAUUAAUGCCCCAUAGUAUAUAGACCUCUCCUGAAGUUUAUAUUAAACAUUUAUGGCUAUUAGAUGGGUAUGCGUCCUAUUAGUUAGUUGGUAAGGUAACGGCUUACCAAGGCAGCGAUAGGUAGGGGUCCUGAGAGGGAGAUCCCCACACUGGUACUGAGACACGGACCAGACUCCUACGGGAGGCAGCAGUGAGGAAUAUUGGACAAUGGGCGAGAGCCUGAUCCAGCCAUGCCGCGUGCAGGAAGACUGCCCUAUGGGUUGUAAACUGCUUUUACAGAGGAAGAACCACCCCCACGUGUGGGGGUUUGACGGUACUCUGCGAAUAAGGAUCGGCUAACUCCGUG